rnacentral:rRNA from 1 species
GACGAACGCUGGCGGCGUGCUUAACACAUGCAAGUCGAACGGAAAGGCCCCUUUGGGGGUACUCGAGUGGCGAACGGGUGAGUAACACGUGAGUAACCUGCCCUUUACUUCGGGAUAACUUCAGGAAACUGGGGCUAAUACCGGAUAGGAAUCCUUGCUGCAUGGUGGGGGUUGGAAAGCUUCGGCGGUUUUGGAUGGACUCGCGGCUUAUCAGCUUGUUGGUGGGGUAGUUGCUUACCAAGGCUUUGACGGGUAGCCGGCCUGAGAGGGCGACCGGCCACAUUGGAACUGAGAUACAGCCCAGAAUCCUACGGGAGGCAGCAGUGGGGAAUAUUGCACAAUGAGCAGAAGCCUGAUGCAGCGACGCCGCGUGCGGGAUGACGGCCUUCGGGUUGUAAACCGCUUUCAGCAGGGGCGAAGCUUGUGGUGACGGUACCUGCAGAAGAAGCAUCGGCUAACUACGUG